rnacentral:rRNA from 1 species
AUUGAACGCUGGCGGCAGGCUUAACACAUGCAAGUCGAGCGGAGCGAGGGUGCUUGCACCUUAGCUUAGCGGCGGACGGGUGAGUAAUGCUUAGGAAUCUGCCUAUUAGUGGGGGACAACAUUCCGAAAGGAAUGCUAAUACCGCAUACGCCCUACGGGGGAAAGCAGGGGAUCUUCGGACCUUGCGCUAAUAGAUGAGCCUAAGUCGGAUUAGCUAGUUGGUGGGGUAAAGGCCUACCAAGGCGACGAUCUGUAGCGGGUCUGAGAGGAUGAUCCGCCAAACUGGGACUGAGACACGGCCCAGACUCCUACGGGAGGUAGCAGUGGGGAAUAUUGGACAAUGGGCGGAAGCCCGAUCCAGCCAUGCCGCGUGUGUGAAGAAGGCCUUUUGGUUGUAAAGCACUUUAAGCGAGGAGGAGGCUACUUAGAUUAAUACUCUGGGAUAGUGGACGUUACUCGCAGAAUAAGCACCGGCUAACUCUGUGCCAGCCGCCGCAGUAA